rnacentral:rRNA from 1 species
UACGGGGGGAGCAAGCGUUGUUCGGAUUUACUGGGCGUAAAGGGCGCGUAGGCGGCCAGUGCAAGUCAGUUGUGAAAUCUCCGAGCUUAACUCGGAAAGGUCAACUGAUACUGCUCGGCUAGAGUGCGGAAGGGGCAACUGGAAUUCCACGUGUAGCGGUGAAAUGCGUAGAGAUGUGGAGGAACACCGAUGGCGAAGGCAGCCUCCUGGGCCAAUACUGACGCUCAUGCACGAAAGCGUGGGGAGCAAACAGG